UACGUAGGGGGCAAGCGUUGUCCGGAUUUAUUGGGCGUAAAGAGCGUGUAGGCGGCCAGGUAGGUCCGUUGUGAAAACUCGAGGCUCAACCUCGAGACGCCGAUGGAAACCAUCUGGCUAGAGUCCGGAAGAGGAGAGUGGAAUUCCCGGUGUAGCGGUGAAAUGCGCAGAUAUCGGGAAGAACACCCGUGGCUAAGGCGGCUCUCUGGGCCGUAACUGACGCUGAGGAGCGAAAGCAUGGGGAGCGAACAGG
rnacentral:rRNA from 1 species